UCCGGUUUGUCACCGGCAGUCUCCUUAGAGUGCCCAACUAAAUGCUGGCAACUAAGGACAAGGGUUGCGCUCGUUGCGGGACUUAACCCAACAUCUCACGACACGAGCUGACGACAACCAUGCACCACCUGUCACUCUGUCCCCCGAAGGGGAACGUCCUAUCUCUAGGAUUGUCGCAGGAUGUCAAACCCUGGUAAGGUUCUGCGCGUUGCGUCGAAUUAAACCACAUGCUCCACCGCUUGUGCGGGCCCCCGUCAAUUCCUUUGAGUUUCAACCUUGCGGCCGUAGUCCCCAGGCGGUGAACUUAAUGCGUUAGCUGCGGCACUGAUCGGGUCAAUCCGACCAACACCUAGUUCACAACGUUUAGGGCGUGGACUAC
rnacentral:misc_RNA from 1 species